UAGAGUUUGAUCCUGGCUCAGGACGAACGCUGGCGGCGUGCUUAACACAUGCAAGUCGAGCGGAAAGGCCCACUUGUGGGUACUCGAGCGGCGAACGGGUGAGUAACACGUGAGUAAUCUGCCCUUCACUUGGGGAUAACGUCCAGAAAUGGGUGCUAAUACCCGAUAUUCACGCAUUGGCGCAUGUUGGUGUGUGGAAAGGUUUUUCUGGUGGGGGAUGUGCUCGCGGCCUAUCAGCUUGUUGGUGGGGUAAUGGCCUACCAAGGCUUUGACGGGUAGCCGGCCUGAGAGGGUGACCGGCCACACUGGGACUGAGAUACGGCCCAGACUCCUACGGGAGGCAGCAGUGGGGAAUAUUGGACAAUGGGCGGAAGCCUGAUCCAGCAACGCCGCGUGAGGGAUGACGGCCUUCGGGUUGUAAAGCUCUUUUGUCAGGGAAGAAACGGUUCUGGAUAAUACCUGGAGCUAAUGACGGUACCUGAAGAAUAAGCACCGGCCAACUACGUGCCAGCAGCCGCGGUAAU
rnacentral:rRNA from 1 species